GGCGAACGCUGGCGGCGUGCUUAACACAUGCAAGUCGAACGCUGAAGUCCAGCUUUUGUUGGCUGGAUGAGUUGAGAACGGGUGAGUAACACGUGAGUAACCUGUCCCCUUCUUUGGGAUAUCGUCAGGAAACGGGCGCUCAUACUGGAUAUUCACUGGCCUUUGCGUGGGGGCUGGUGGUAAGGGUUUUUCUGGUUGGGGAUGGGCACGCGGCCUAUCAGCUUGUUGGUGGGGUGUUGGCGUACCAAGGCUGUGACGGGUAGCCGGCCUGAGCGGGUGCCCGGUCACAUGGUGACUGAGAUACAGCCCAGACUCCGACGGGAAGCAGCAGUAGGGAAUCUUCCGCAAGGGACGAAAGCCUGACGGAGCAACGCCGCGUAAGGGAAGAAGGAUUUCGGUUCGUAAAGCUCUGUUGUUAGGGAAGAAGUGAUGUGUAGUAACUAUACAUGUAAGAGACGGUACCUAACCAGAAAGCCACGGCUAACUACGUG
rnacentral:rRNA from 1 species